AGAAGGAAGUGUUGGCUUUGUGCUGUCAUGGUGGUUGAUAUGCUAAAUACUUCCAUUACAUCCACUGCAAUAUUUGUUGGACUGUGGUGUUUUCAAGGGUGCUGGCUGACAAUAUUAAUGGGUGUUUAUGUUAUUUGGGAGAUCUUGUUUUACCUGACCUCAUUUAGCUGUGACCAACUGGAAAAAUGCCAGAUAAGAAGAAACAUAAGAGCAGGACUUCAGAAUCGAGGAAGGAAAAUACACCGGUGGAUCAUUUUCUUUGUCUACUCUCUUCUUAAUAUUUUCUUUACAAUUGCACUUAUAACAGGAGUCUGUCUGACCAGAAUGGUGAAGUGUCUUUAGACUUUGGUUGUGAGUUAGAUUUAAAAGUCCUAUGUUAUCACACAAUUUGUUAUCUACUGUAUCUAUUUGAUACAUAUUGACUGAUUUAUUCCACAAGUUUUUUAUGUAUUUGUCUUUAGGUCUCUUAGCUGUUAUAUAACAAUGAUGCGGUUGUUAAAAGCUCUUUGAAACUGUAGAUACAGUACAUGUUUUUCAUGACUCCCUUAUCACUGAAUUCACAGGAAUUGUUUACAAUACAGCGUCAGGGCUUAUGGACAACAGUGAAUGUCUGUCUCAUUUCAAAUGUCUUGACUGGCUUACAUGAAGUGAAGUGAGGUGAAGCAUGCUAAGCCAUACUUGGAAUUUAACCAAGUCAUACAAAACCACACAAAAGCAAAAUAAACUUUUCACCUGUUGAAUUGCCAAGCUUAGAUUUAAAGAGUCAAACCUAAACAAAUCAAUGCAACACUUUAAUCAUUAAUGCAUCUGGAUGAAAUGCUAUACUUUUUAAACUAAUUUAGGGCUUAAAAUGUUUCUGUCAGAUUCAAAAGUAUUACUGGGAACAACGCACAACCGUAUUUACAUAAAUAAUCUAAGACAUUUAAUAAAUAAUGAAUGCUUAACAACAAACUUAUGUCUUUAUUUAACUAUCAUUUGGGAGCCUGAUUGCUGGCAGUUCAAGUUCCACAACUGCCCACCG